rnacentral:lncRNA from 1 species
UUGGCCCAGACGAACUCUGAUUGCCACACAGGUAAGUACCGACCUAGCAUAUAAAAUUCAGGCUGUUAGCUUUGGAAAUAAAUUGUCAACAAUGUGUAAUGAUCCACAUUGGAAAAAUAUGUUCAGUUGAUACGACAAUAAAAAAUGUCAAAAUUAUUGAUCAUACAGUUGGAUUAGCUAUCUCAUGGGCUUCAACCUUUGUAUGUUGCUUCUCUUUAGAUUAUAUUGCUCUAUUAACUUCAUUUUCUUCUUCUUCUCUAAUGAUAUACCCAUGUCAGCAUUUUGCUGUUGUUCUAGAUUGCCGAGAUGAAUGGAUGGUGCAUGGCUAAGUUGAUUGCAAGGUGGAAAAUGGGGCUAGUAGCAGAUAGUUAUCCACUAAUGUUAUAUAAUUUCGUUGUCAUGCUCAAUGUAUAGAAAUCAUGUAUAUAUACUUUGGAUUGUGUCCAUGUAAUGCAACCUAUUCUAUUUAAUAUAUGAGAUCUUUCUUU